AAUGAACGUUGGCGGCAUGGAUUAGGCAUGCAAGUCGUACGCUUAGCGUAGCAAUACGCGAGGAGUGGCGAAAGGGAGAGGAAUACGUGGGAACCUACCUUCGGGCCUGGAAUAGCGGCGGGAAACUGCCGGUAAUGCCAGAUAACGUCCCCGGACCAAAGGUGUGAUUCCGCCUGGAGAUGGGCCCACGUCCUAUCAGCUUGUUGGUGUGGUAACGGCGCACCAAGGCUAAGACGGGUAUGGGGUGUGAGAGCAUGCCCCCACUCACUGGGACUGAGACACUGCCCAGACACCUACGGGUGGCUGCAGUCGAGAAUCUUCGGCAAUGAGCGCAAGCUUGACCGAGCGAUGCCGCGUGCGGGAUGAAGGCCCUCGGGUUGUAAACCGCUGUCGUAGGGGAGUAAUGGCCAGGGGGUUCUCCCUCUGGUAUGAACAAUCCUAGGAGGAAGGACGGGCUAAGUUCGUGCCAGCAGCCGCGGUAAGACGAACCGUCCAAACGUUAUACGGAAUCACUGGGCUUACAGAGUGCGUAGGCGGUCCCAAAAGUUAGGUGUGAAAUCCCUCGGCUCACCCGAGGAACUGCGCUAAAACCUGUGGGACUC
rnacentral:rRNA from 1 species